AGGUUCAGAGCUUUUGGCUGCUCACCCCUGAACUGAGUGAUGUCUUCGCUUCCUGGUGUUGCCAUGGGUUCCAGGCUUCUCUGCUGGGUGGCCCUUUGUCUCCUGGGAGCAGGCCCAGUGGAUUCCGGGGUAACUCAAACUCCGAGACACGUGGUCAAAGCACAAGGACAGCAAGUGACGUUGAGAUGUUCCCCUAUCUCUGGACACCUAUCUUUGUACUGGUACCAACAGGCCGUGGGCCAGGGCCCCCAGUUACUUAUCCAGUAUUAUGACAAGAAAGAGAGUAACAGAGGAAACUUCCCGAAACGAUUCUCGGCUCAACAGUUCGCUGACUAUCACUCCGAGCUAAACAUGAGCUCCUUGGAGCUGACGGAUGCGGCCCUCUAUCUCUGUGCCAGCAGCCCUGACACAGCCCUGCACCCUCCGCAGCCUACCGUACAAAAAUAUUCCACCCUCAGCUCAGGAAGUGAUGGCGAGGGUGGUGGCUGCCAGUCACGUGGCCACAGGCCCUGGUAAAGCAACAGGGUCUCCCAGAUGCUGGUACUGCUGUCCACGUGUGUGAGAAGUCUUAAUGCUCACAGAAAUCAUGCAAGGUGAAGUAUUCUUUUCCCUGUUGACAUAUAUGAGGGGAAGUAGCUUCCCUGGUGUCUGAGCAAGGACUCCAGCUCUGCUCUGUUCCUCAACACCUGUGGUCCCCCCACCCCCAGAACUGUCCCCUGAUCUGGCUUCCCUUCCCAGGUCCUGAUUAGCAGGACACAAAGGAUCACGCACCCACGUGUGAUUAUCACAACGUCGUCCUGGGAAGAUGAACACACCCAAACAGCAGUGGGUCCCUUGCUUUGGACAAGGUCCUGUAUCAUAUAAAAUACAAAAUGAAAAUCA